CAAGAGAGGGGCGUAACUGGAAGGAGGCGUAACUUGAAGAAAGGGGCGUAACUUGAAGUUGUCCAAAUCACACAGAACCACGCGAGAUGUCAAAACGAGAUGUUAUUGGCAAGAUGGCCGCUUGUAUAUUGACAAGGGACAGAUGAGACACACGAGUGUAUAUCCGGUGCAGAGUGACUGAUGAAGGAAUGCUGCCAUCAAAGACUCUCAAUCUUUUGUGGUGGAGCAGGACCUGCAAGACAAGGUGACAGCGACAUUUGUGGAAAAAAGGGAAAACCUGAAACAAAAGGAUAAAGGACCUACAAUCCCCUGGAUCAACCUGGAGAAAAGAGCCUUGCUGAAGGACACGCCAGUGACAAACCAGCAACCUUCUGCUGACCAGUUCAGUGGUUUAGCCCACUACAGAAGUAGUGGUGCUCAUGGAGAGCAGCAUACGAAUGUUUGAAGCAGACACAGAUUAUCCCGCACAUGUUCUCCUGCUCUUGCCUCAAGGUUGUGUGGUUCAGGGGUGUCAUCAUGGUCUUCCUCAUCCUCUGGGUCAACGAUGUCCUCAUUGAGAAGAGCAAGAUUGUGAAGCACAGCGCAGCUGCAGAACUGGCUCAGCUGUGUUGAGAUGACUGUAGGAUGUGGGUUCACCGUCUGUAAAAACAUGAUUGUUAGAACAAUAAGUUUGAAUGAAGCUUUGUUUCAUCUGUUGUUGACUUGUAUAUUGUAUGUAUUUAUUGUGAUGCUUCCUUUUAUUCAUUCUUAUACUUAUUUAUUCAUGUUUCUUAUUGUUGUCAUUAAAUAAAAUAUAUUUUAAUGUAUUAAUUGCUUGACUGAAAAUUGAUGUAUUCACUUCGACUGCAUUUGUUCAACUAGUGUAUAUUCAUGUAUAGCCAUGUCACGACAAAAAUUAAAUUUUGCUUGUUUUA